rnacentral:rRNA from 1 species
GAUGAACGCUGGCGGCGUGCCUAAUACAUGCAAGUCGAGCGAACAGAUGAGGCGCUUGCUCCUCUGACGUUAGCGGCGCACGGGUGAGUCACACGUGGAUAACCUACCUAUCAGACUGGUAUCACUUCGGGAAACCGGAGCAAAUCCCGUAUAAUAUCUUGAACCGCAUGGUUCAUUGGAGAAAUACGGUUGUUCUGUCUCGUAUCGAUGGAUAUGCGCCGCUUUGGCUGGUUGGUAAGGUAAAGGCUUAGCAAGGCAACGAUGCGUAGACGACGUGAGAGGGGGAUCGGCGGCACUGGAAGUGAAACGGGGACAAGGCUCCUACGAGAGGGAGCAGUAGGGAAUCUGCCGCAGUGGGCGAAAGCCUGACAGAGCAACGGCGCGUGUGAGAUGAAGGUCUUCGGAUCGUGAAACUCUGUUAUUAGGGAAGAACAAAUGUGUAAGUAACUAUGCACGUCGUGACGGUACCUGAUCAGAAAGCCACGGCUAACUACGUG